rnacentral:rRNA from 1 species
GAGCACUGUUUCGGCAAGGGGGUCAUCCCGACUUACCAACCCGAUGCAAACUGCGAAUACCGGAGAAUGUUAUCACGGGAGACACACGGCGGGUGCUAACGUCCGUCGUGAAGAGGGAAACAACCCAGACCGCCAGCUAAGGUCCCAAAGUCAUGGUUAAGUGGGAAACGAUGUGGGAAGGCCCAGACAGCCAGGAUGUUGGCUUAGAAGCAGCCAUCAUUUAAAGAAAGCGUAAUAGCUCACUGGUCGAGUCGGCCUGCGCGGAAGAUGUAACGGGGCUAAACCAUGCACCGAAGCUGCGGCAGCGACGCUUAUGCGUUGUUGGGUAGGGGAGCGUUCUGUAAGCCUGCGAAGGUGUGCUGUGAGGCAUGCUGGAGGUAUCAGAAGUGCGAAUGCUGACAUAAGUAACGAUAAAGCGGGUGAAAAGCCCGCUCGCCGGAAGACCAAGGGUUCCUGUCCAACGUUAAUCGGGGCAGGGUGAGUCGACCCCUAAGGCGAGGCCGAAAGGCGUAGUCGAUGGGAAACAGGUUAAUAUUCCUGUACUUGGUGUUACUGCGAAGGGGGGACGGAGAAGGCUAUGUUGGCCGGGCGACGGUUGUCCCGGUUUAAGCGUGUAGGCUGGUUUUCCAGGCAAAUCCGGAAAAUCAAGGCUGAGGCGUGAUGACGAGGCACUACGGUGCUGAAGCAACAAAUGCCCUGCUUCCAGGAAAAGCCUCUAAGCAUCAGGUAACAUCAAAUCGUACCCCAAACCGACACAGGUGGUCAGGUAGAGAAUACCAAGGCGCUUGAGAGAACUCGGGUGAAGGAACUAGGCAAAAUGGUGCCGUAACUUCGGGAGAAGGCACGCUGAUAUGUAGGUGAAGUCCCUUGCGGAUGGAGCUGAAAUCAGUCGAAGAUACCAGCUGGCUGCAACUGUUUAUUAAAAACACAGCACUGUGCAAACACGAAAGUGGACGUAUACGGUGUGACGCCUGCCCGGUGCCGGAAGGUUAAUUGAUGGGGUCAGCGCAAGCGAAGCUCUUGAUCGAAGCCCCGGUAAACGGCGGCCGUAACUAUAACGGUCCUAAGGUAGCGAAAUUCCUUGUCGGGUAAGUUCCGACCUGCACGAAUGGCGUAAUGAUGGCCAGGCUGUCUCCACCCGAGACUCAGUGAAAUUGAACUCGCUGUGAAGAUGCAGUGUACCCGCGGCAAGACGGAAAGACCCCGUGAACCUUUACUAUAGCUUGACACUGAACAUUGAGCCUUGAUGUGUAGGAUAGGUGGGAGGCUUUGAAGUGUGGACGCCAGUCUGCAUGGAGCCGGCCUUGAAAUACCACCCUUUAAUGUUUGAUGUUCUAACGUGGACCCGUGAUCCGGGUUGCGGACAGUGUCUGGUGGGUAGUUUGACUGGGGCGGUCUCCUCCUAAAGAGUAACGGAGGAGCACGAAGGUUGGCUAAUCCUGGUCGGACAUCAGGAGGUUAGUGCAAUGGCAUAAGCCAGCUUGACUGCGAGCGUGACGGCGCGAGCAGGUGCGAAAGCAGGUCAUAGUGAUCCGGUGGUUCUGAAUGGAAGGGCCAUCGCUCAACGGAUAAAAGGUACUCCGGGGAUAACAGGCUGAUACCGCCCAAGAGUUCAUAUCGACGGCGGUGUUUGGCACCUCGAUGUCGGCUCAUCACAUCCUGGGGCUGAAGUAGGUCCCAAGGGUAUGGCUGUUCGCCAUUUAAAGUGGUACGCGAGCUGGGUUUAGAACGUCGUGAGACAGUUCGGUCCCUAUCUGCCGUGGGCGCUGGAGAACUGAGGGGGGCUGCUCCUAGUACGAGAGGACCGGAGUGGACGCAUCACUGGUGUUCGGGUUGUCAUGCCAAUGGCACUGCCCGGUAGCUAAAUGCGGAAGAGAUAAGUGCUGAAAGCAUCUAAGCACGAAACUUGCCCCGAGAUGAGUUCUCCCUGACCCUUUAAGGGUCCUGAAGGAACGUUGAAGACGACGACGUUGAUAGGCCGGGUGUGUAAGCGCAGCGAUGCGUUGAGCUAACCGGUACUAAUGAACCGUGAGG